UCCUGCUCAGAAACCCCCUGUAGCUCCCUUUCCCUGUAUGACCAGAAGGUAAAGUCCCUUGAGGCAGGGAUUUUUGUCUGGUUUAUAUUAUCAAAGUGGCCGGGUGCUCAGAUAGGUGCCUAGCAUGGAGAAAGGUUUAGUACCAUUCAACACAUCAUUGUCAAGUGAAUAAACAAAUGAUGAAAUUCAAGCUCCUUAAAAGAGCUUUCAGGAUCCCUUGUUCACCGCUUCUGCUCUCUCUCUGCUUCUGUGGCUACUCCCCCAGUGAUGCCAUGGUAGCUCCCAGGGAUGGGAGGUCCUGGAUCCGCUUGUUUUUCUCCUGGCAUGAAGCUACCUCUCCUCCCUUCUGUUUUCUAAGGCCUCUCCAUCCGCCAGUCCACCACCAACUUCUGCACCUCCUCCUGUUUCCUCCUGUUCAUCUGACCCCAGCCUUAAAAUUAAGGUUCACUUCCUACACCCUCAGUGAGACUUAGGCGCCCUGGAUGCAGGGCUGAUGUGUGCACAUCUUUGUGUUCCCUCCUACACUCCAGCACCUAACUUAGGGUUUUGGACAUAAUAGGUGCCCCAUGUGGUGUGUGGUCCCUAUUUGCCUGCAUUAAAAAAAUGAGAGACCAGCAAGACACACGCAAGCCCCAGCCUCUGAUCUAGCCACAACAUGGAGUUUAUCUGAUCCAUGGUCCCUCGCCAAGGGUCAGUGAAGGCUGGGGAGGGACAGAGGUGUCCAGAGCAGGUCUGGAGGGAGCCCUAGCCUCCUGGGUUCUGAGCUGGUCAGGUCUCACCUGGUGACACAGGCUUUAUGACUUGGUCUUUCUCUCUUCCUUUCCUUCCAGUUCCUGCCCACCGCGUUCCUGCCAAUCACGGCUACUUGCCAGCCAGCGGACACAGCGGAUGGCGAGCGCGUGCUGGUGUUGCGGUUUCUCGGAGGCUGUUGAACUGCUUGGUGCCGUCAGUGCCACGUGGUGGCGGCUCUUGUACAUUUGUGUGGAGUUAUAGUACAAAAGAAGCCAGAGCAGACCACCUCCUUCUGGACGGCUACCACCAUGGCACCACGCUUUUCAAUGGUGGGCUGGAGUCAGACAUGGGCCAGGUGGUCAUACUUUCUUGGCUGGGAUGCGGAGUUCUUUGGUUCACAUCUUCAUGUACCUGUCUACACACCAGCUGCUCCGGGCCCUGCCGGGGGUUUGCCUGUGCUGGAAGCACCUCUUACCGUCCCUCAGCUGGUGAGAGACACCGUUGGCUUGGGGGCCUCAGCUACUCUUAGCUGCCCUGUGACUUGGUAUCUGACCAUGAACCAGGCCCCCUCAUUACUGGGUCUUCCUUAGUUUCUCAACUUGCAAGGGCCUCAGCAACCAUCACACCAGAUCCUAGAAACACCCCUAACUCCCUGCAGUGAUGUGGGACCUGGAGCAAGUGACGUCCAUGCUUCAGGCCUUAGCCUCUGCACUGUGCGAUGAGGGAGCCGGCUAGAGGACUGCGAGGCGCUAACAUCCUGCAAACCUGUGACCACCAUCCGGCCCUCCAGUGCCGGGUUCCCUAUGGUUCCGGAAGCACUGUCAUCAGAAGGUGGUGAAAGCUGGAGGUGUCCCUCGUGGGGCUCAGGAUGGAAUGAUUUUAUCAUCAGUGUCCACAUGACGAGGAUGGAUCAGGGCAAAUGGAGACCAGAGCCAGGAGAGGAGUCAGGAAGCUUCUCAGGAUCAUGGCUCAGAAGGAGUGGGAGUCAUGCUUUACCGGGCUUCCUUGUGUUCCAGAUCCUGAGCAGUAGGAGCCUGGGCCCUGCUGGCUGACGCAUGAGGCCCUUGGGGAGCAUCCUGCCCCUCAGCCGGCUCCUCUCUGCUGUCUGUCUCUUUCCUCCCAUGCUCCCUUCAGCCCAUCUCAUUGUGCCCACUUCUCCUACCAUCUCUUUUCAGAGGCUCCUUCCGCACUGGGUCUGGCAUGGCCUCCUGGACACCCUCAGCCUCACGCCUUUAUCCUUAACUUCUGCCACCAGACACACCCAUGGGAGAAGCUGAUUUCAGGGGCAGCACCUGAGGACUGAACUAGCAGAACCAUCCUUCCGGAGAGUUGGUUGAAGACAACUUGGCUCCCUGCCUGCCUGUGCUGAGCUGACAUCUCUGGACUGCAUGUUGUCCUGUGAAGGGUGGAGAGUUGCCUCCUUCCCACAGUUCAGGAGCCCAGAAGUAGACGCCGCUGCCUGCACGGCAGCAUGUCUCACAUGGAUUUGCAAACAUUUGCUGUCUCCUUCCUCUACUAGAUGUGGACCCUCACCAGCAGGACUGUCUUAUUCUCAGUGUUCCCCCAAUCCUAACAAAGCACCUCAAUACAUGUGUGUUUGGAUCCUUGUAUUCCAGAACUGGCCGUCAUGACCCCUGGUGAAGAUCAGGGCUGGGAGUGUGGAAGAAGGCAAGGCUGGCUUGAUAUCUAAUCCUGUUGUGGGCAGCGAUGACUGAGACUCUCCAGGCGUCUGUUCAUUUCCUAGUGUGUGAAUGGGAACCCCUGCAUUUCUUCCUGUCUGUUCAUUACCACCUGUAUGUGUGUUUAUAUAGUUGCAUGAUUCCAUGUGUGUAAAUGGAGCAAUGGGAGAGCUAUGUGUGUAUGUCUGAAAACGUGUCUUCAAAUAUAUAUGCAUGUUUCCAUUUGAGUUCCUUUGUAUGUUUGCUUAGCUCUUCUGUGAAUCUCUGGAAGUGCUACACUGGUAAUAAAAGCCACUGGGAUCAAUGCCUCUCCUGUCCCUGUUGGGAGACAUGGAAGUCCACUGAGGAAUCCCUAAGUACUCCACUGAGAGCCUCCAAAGAGGGAGGUGGGAACAGGAGAAAUGGGAGAGAAUGAAUACAGCCAUCCACUUCCCAGGAAGGGAAACUGAAGACACGUAACAGGAAUGCAUGAUCAAGCUCAUAUAUGUGGCAGGAACAAACAUCUGCUGAGCCCUUUAAAACCAGCCCUGGAUGGGUCUCUGCAGAGCGGUUGGCCUGGUUGCUGCUCUGUGGCUCUGGGAUGCUUAUUCUUCUGUAUAAUCUCUGCUUUCAGUGCUUUUCCUCCACUAAGUCUUCAUUACUGACAUGGAUGGAACACGUGCCCCCACUGUUGACUUCUUAGUCAUUCAACAUGGAAAUAUGGAGGCCUUGCUGCUUUCCAGGCACUGAGCUCAAAGCAGACUUAAUUUGCACUCAAGGACCAUGUUUGCUUAAAAAGCCAAACUCUUAAUGACUUCCCACUGCUCCAGGGAAAAUAAGAAAAAAAGCCAGUCUUUUCCCAAUGUGGCAGGAAAAGAGGAUUUGAACAAAGACUUUUAUACACAGUGUCAGAUGUAGAAAUGGAGUGGAACCACACCUGCCUACAGUCUUGCUGUGGGACUCCAUUCCUUGGUUCCAAGUGGGCUCCCAGAACAUCUCAAGUGUUACAUCCAAAUGAAAAAUUAAUGAAAUGUCAUACAUUUAAAAAAUUACCCACAUCUAAGAACUAACUGUUGCCCAGACCAUGGACUCAUUUUGGGUUCCUAGGCGAGGUUUCUUGGAGUGAGAGUCUAAGGGGGAGGCUCGGUAACCGUCUUCCAGGCUGUAACAACUGCCAGUUGAUAGCUGUGGAUGGAAGUGAUCAUCAUUUUUCAGUGGCCUUAGUAUCAGGAACUUCUGUUUGAGAAGUAAGGAGAAUGCCAUCCAUCGAUGGAAUGAUAAUCGUGCUGGAUCGACAGAGUGACAGCUAGGCUUGGGACCUGGGCUUCCUGACUCCCUCUCCAGGGCUCUGUGUCCCGGAGGACUGGGUCAAGAGGAAAGGAAUUUAUUCUCAUAAAUGGGGUGGUUUAGAUAUUCCAGAUCCUGCAUCCAACCUUGGAGCUCAUCCUACUGGAAAAGUCAAUACUGCCUUCUAAAUGCCUCUCUCUACCUUCCUGUGCCUCCCUCCUUCUCUCCUGAUUUCAUAUACAGAAUACUUCUGUGGUGAUUAAAUUUACCACUUAGCUCACUGGUUUCAAUAUAU